rnacentral:rRNA from 1 species
AGAGUUUGAUCCUGGCUCAGAGCGAACGCUGCGGCAUGCUUAACACAUGCAAGUCGCACGGGCUGCUUUCGGGUAGUCAGUGGCGGACGGGUGAGUAACGCGUAGGAACAUGUCCAGGGGUGGGGGAUAACGCUGGGAAACUGGCGCUAAUACCGCAUGUGAGCUGAGGCUCAAAGCCGCGAGGCGCCUUUGGAGUGGCCUGCGUCCGAUUAGCUUGUUGGUGGGGUAAUGGCUUACCAAGGCGUCGAUCGGUAGCUGGUCUGAGAGGACGACCAGCCACACUGGGACUGAGACACGGCCCAGACUCCUACGGGAGGCAGCAGUGGGGAAUAUUGGACAAUGGGCGCAAGCCUGAUCCAGCAAUGCCGCGUGGGUGAAGAAGGUCUUCGGAUCGUAAAGCCCUUUCGACGGGGACGAUGAUGACGGUACCCGUAGAAGAAGCCCCGGCUAACUUCGUGCCAGCAGCCGCGGUAAUACGAAGGGGGCUAGCGUUGCUCGGAAUUACUGGGCGUAAAGGGCGCGUAGGCGGUCAUUUUAGUCAGGCGUGAAAUUCCCGGGCUUAACCUGGGGACUGCGCUUGAUACUGGGUGACUUGAGGGUGGAAGAGGGUCGUGGAAUUCCCAGUGUAGAGGUGAAAUUCGUAGAUAUUGGGAAGAACACCGGUGGCGAAGGCGGCGACCUGGUCCAUUACUGNNGCUGAGGCGCGACAGCGUGGGGAGCAAACAGGAUUAGAUACCCUAGUAGUCC